rnacentral:lncRNA from 1 species
GGCAGGCGGCUCCCAGAGCCAGCAGAGCAGCUAAUUAUACAGAGGGGCCACGCCCUGCACAUUCAUACCUAACCUGGUUUUUUAAAGAAGUGUUUUUAUUCUUCCCCAGUUUAAUUAUUUUCCACGGCUCAGCAACCAGUUGGGCUGCUUCCUUCUGAUACACUUUCUUCUCAUCAGGAAAGCGGGAGCCUCUGUCCUCGCAGGUGGGCAGGCUUCGCUGAGCCAAGCCAGCCGUGGGACAGAAGGUGAGGUGUCCGCAGAGGCCCACAGGACUCAGGGCUAUUUAACUGGGUCACACAAGCCAAAUAAUCUUGAAACGUGAUGGCCUGGGUUUCAGAGGAAUAUCCCCCUGCCGCCCUGAGACACCGGAGUUGCUUCUUAUCUUUUUUUUGUUUUUUAAUUUCCAUCAAAAAGUUUAGUACUUUUUUAAAUUAGAGGAUAAUUGUUUUACAAUAUUGUGUUUGACUUCCUGUCUUAAAAGGAAUGGUGGGUUCCACUUGAUUUGGAGCUAAAAUUUCAACCCAAGGCCUUUGAGAACCAACAGCCACCUGACUAUCUCAACGGAAGACAGCUUCAGGAAGUCACGUCCCACCCAGCAGCCCUAACAAGAUGCUUACGGCUUUAUGUUAUUUCUAUCAGAGCAAGUUAGAACCUGCUUGGAUCCAAGGGACAGGGAGACAGUAGUGAGGGACAGAAACGCAGACCAGGUGGCAGCGUCCUCAGGGCCCCCACCAAGGGAAGGGCUGUGCCUCUCCCCGGCCGGGCUGGACUGGACAGAGCAGAGGUGGGAGUGGCUGGGGCGGCAGGUUCCAGGCUGUGUGUAGGGGAGUGGGUUUCCUUCCCCUCGAAUCCAGGUCAAACUCAGGGAGCCCCCGCCCCUUUGGCUCACCAGGCCGAACAGCUAAUCCUCUGCAGCAACAGCUCGUGUGGGAACGAGAGCAGAGACAAGCUUAGCUCCCCAAGCAGCCAGAGUUUUAAGAGGAGGUGUGGGGGUGGAGAGUGCUGCUUCAUCAAGGGGAUUCCCUCUCACCUUGUGUCUCCGUUCUCAGGCUCCACAGGAGCCCCGACUCGUUUGAACUCACUGGUGAGUGGUCUAAGAGUUCAUGGGGGCUUCUGGGGGCAGGAAACACUUUCUCAAAAAGUCUUGCUCAGGACUUCUUUGGUGGACCAGUGGCUGAGACUCCGCACUCCCAAGGCAGGGGACCCAGGUUUCACCCCUGGUCAGGGAACUGGAUCCCACAUGCCGCAAAACCAAAGGUCCCAAAUGCCACAACUUAAAGUUAGCAUGCCACGACCAAAAUCUCACAUGCUGCAGCCAAGACCUGCCACAGCCAAAAUAAAUUAA